AACCAAAACGACUCUCCGGAACGGAUAUCUCGGCUCUCGCAUCGAUGAAGAACGUAGCGAAAUGCGAUACUUGGUGUGAAUUGCAGAAUCCCGUGAACCAUCGAGUCUUUGAACGCAAGUUGCGCCCGAAGCCAUUAGGCCGAGGGCACGUCUGCCUGGGCGUCACGCAUC
rnacentral:rRNA from 1 species